GGGCCCGCACAAGCGGUGGAGUAUGUGGUUUAAUUCGAUGCAACGCGAAGAACCUUACCAGGGUUUGACAUCCUGCGAAUCUCUUGGAAACGAGAGAGUGCCUUCGGGAACGCAGUGACAGGUGGUGCAUGGCUGUCGUCAGCUCGUGUCGUGAGAUGUUGGGUUAAGUCCCGCAACGAGCGCAACCCACGUCUUUAGUUGCCAGCAUUAGUUGGGCACUCUAGAGAGACUGCCGGUGAUAAACCGGAGAAGGUGUGGAUGACGUCAAGUCACAUGCCCUUCACAUCCUGGGCUACACACGUACUACAAUGCUACGGACAAAGGGCUGCAAGUUCGCGAGGACAAGCAAAUCCCAUAAACGUGGCUC
rnacentral:rRNA from 1 species